UGGAAGGGAAGAUCACGGUCCUUUCCCGCAGCAAUUCCAGCGUUUUCGACGACGCCGUCAAACUCACCGGGAGGGACAGACCCAUCCCAAUCCACGUCAUCGGGGGCUUGGCUCGUUUUGGCCUGAGCAGGAUUUAUGAUAUUUGGAAGCUCAGUCAACCUGCAGAAGUCAGGGAAAAAUCAAACCUCGUGAUAAACGAUUCCUUUAUCCAAAAAUGGGAAGGCACUCGGGGAUUCCUUGGAUUAAAGGAAUAUGCCGAGCACGUGGACGACAGAGACCUGGCAGUGAAGAUUUCCAUCGUGGAGAAAUACAGGGAGCGGAUCCCGGAGCUGGUGCAGAGGAUCGAGAGAUCCCACGUGUCCCAGGAAUCCCUGGCAGGUAAAUCCAGGGAUAAAGGGGCAAAUCCAGGUCUUCUUUCAGUCCUGAAUCCAACUGAUCCUGGAAAAAAGGCUGAGUUUGGAUCGAGGUGGACUUUUAGGGAAAAGGGAGGUUGAACAGGAGCUU